rnacentral:rRNA from 1 species
UACGUAGGGGGCAAGCGUUGUCCGGAAUCAUUGGGCGUAAAGAGCGUGUAGGCGGCUCGGUAAGUCCGCUGUGAAAGUCCAGGGCUCAACCCUGGAAUGCCGGUGGAAACUGUCGGGCUAGAGUCCGGAAGAGGCGAGUGGAAUUCCUGGUGUAGCGGUGAAAUGCGCAGAUAUCAGGAGGAACACCAAUGGCGAAGGCAGCUCGCUGGGACGGUACUGACGCUGGAGACGCGAAAGCGUGGGGAGCAAACAGG